AAAAUAAAUAAGAGUUGAGCAACUGAAAUUAACUUUUGACGACGAAGGAUCAUUCCAGACUCUGCUUCUGUUGAGAGAGAGAUAAAAGGGGUCAGUGCUCUAAAAUGAGUCUCUCUGGGGAGAGAGAAGAGGGGGGCCCUGCCUCUAAAAUGAGAAUCUCUGGGAGACAUGACAACAAAGCUAAGAGAAUCCCCAACCAAACUCUGAGACCAGUCUCUCCAGUACCCAGUCAUCUGUCCAUGAAGAGUGACUCCUCUAUGCAUCAUCCUGUACAGUUUAGUGAUGGAUCAGGGACCUUUGACCCCAGAAUCUCCAACCAAACUCAGUCUCUCCAGAGAUCAGUCUCUCCAGUACCCAGUCAUCUGUCCAUGAAGAGCUACUUCUCUAUGGAUCAGCCUAUGCAUUUUAGUAAUGGAUCAGGGACCUUUGACCCCAGAAUCUCCAAGCAAACUCAGUCUCUCCAGAGAUCAGUCUCUCCAGUACCCAGUCAUCUGUCCAUGAAGAGCUACUUCUCUAUGGAUCAGCCUAUGCAUUUUAGUAAUGGAUCAGGGACCUUUGACCCCAGAUUGACAAGGUGAAUCCAGGUGAAAGCUAUGAUCCCUUAUUGAUGUC
rnacentral:lncRNA from 1 species